CAUAAUUUCUUCUACCUGCCUGCAACGCCGGGUCACGGUUGGAUGAAUUCUGCAUUCCCAGGGACAUCGAUAAAAACAUUCUGAGCGCGAAGCAGCACCUCCACAAAGCAUCACAGAAAUAAUAAAUACAGAGCAUGGUGUUUGGUUAUCUUUUUUUUUUUUAAGAAUUUGUUUAUUUAUCGAACCUGGGUCAUAUUUAGAUUCACAAGCAAUUUUAAAUGUACAUCUUAAUUCAAUUUAAGUGUUUUACACAAAAAUAUUGGCACACAACAGUCGCCAUAAGGUGUAAUGCCACCUUGCUGAGGAACUGCUGCCGGUGUUUGCCCGAGGUUGCAAAAUCUUUACCUGGAACAUGAAAACCUGUAACAAAUUUUAAAUUAAUUGUACAAAACUGCUGUGUGUAACUUGUAGAGGCUCCCCCCUGGAAAAGGUCCCACCCCACCCCAAAAAUGAUUACAACUAAUGUACAUCAGUCACAACAGAAUCCUGGCUCAGCACCCACACCAGACGAGUCUUUAAUUUUGAAACCAAUCAUCAGAUACCAAGGAAAGUAACUUUAUACAAAAACAAAUCUACAUGUGCCUGAAAAAGAAAACACACCAGUACUUAGCAUUAUGCUAAUUAUGACCAGAAAAGGGCAGAGACUGCCACUUAACUUAAACACAAGGGCUGCAUAGCAUUGCAAUAAACCCCCAGAACCGUUAACCCUUUGGCAUCAGGAAUCCAGAUGUCCUGAACACUGCUGCAUUCUGCAAGAGCACCAACGGCCUUCAGCUUUGGAGCUGCACAAACAAAGGGCUAACUAUCGUUUGCCAAGACACUGCACACAAUGGGCUCCAAUAUAAAACCUGAAAAAGACUAAAAACCACGUGAUGAACAUUUGGUAGAAGAUCUAUUCUGAUACUGGUUAUUUCAUUAAAAAUCUCCGAAUGGUUGGUGUAAUCAGGAUAGUUACUGAACACUUCCUUUUAAAUCUUAAUUGGGUACGUAUACUAGAUCAGAAGUUGCCAGAUCUACUCAUUAUCAGAUUAAAGUUCCAAUUGCUCCUCCUUGGCAGUUUGCAUAAGUGAAGAAGGGAUACCUUCAAUUUACUGCAGCGUUAAUGAUGUGAGAAAUGCAACAGUCGCGUUAGGGCCUUGUACCGUUUCCCUAGAUAGAACUGCAAGUACUUAUGAAAACAGAAAGUUAGAAAAAGACACAGACAUUGCUUGUUACUACAGUUGAAUUACAGCAUUUGCAGCUUGCUUGGAUCUUGCUUAGCAUACAGGCUAGGCAGGUUUAAGUGAAAAGAAAAAAAAACAGGCCAAUUAAGUGAUGAGAUUUCAGCAUAGCUUUUGCUACAGAAGAUAUAUAAAAACAAUUCAUUUUUAACUAGGAAGGAACGUAAGCAAAUAAGUUUUACAGUUCAGUAAGGAGGGUUUCGAAACUUAGUGACUUUUUUUUGUGACCAGGAUGUUUGGUAGACAGUGAACUGAAAUCCAGGACCAGGAACAGUACUCUUAAACAACUCUUCGGACUUCAAAAAACCUCUUCAGAUAGUAGAUUUGUCCCAGUGUCAUGGCAACUAGUACAAGAGCUUCAAAGAAUGACCAAAGGACCACUCUGCUGUUUGUGUUGUCAUUAAUUGCUCUAUGUAUUCUCUCACGAACUUCCAUGUACUCCUGUUCAUGCUUUACAGCUGUCAUGGCCACUGCUAACUCAUUAAUCAUCUCUUCUAGCUUGUUCUGAUGAGCAUCCCAGGUAUCUCCACCACCUUCUGUCUCCAUAUCUUGCCCCUUUGGAGCUUCCCCAAUAUCAAUUGUGAACAUCACUAUCUUGGGAGUCAUGGUGGACAUUCUGUUACUAAAACAAAACUUGUAAGUUCCAUCCAUGUGGGCGGCAAAUGUGUAUUUUCCACUGGACUCUCGAUCGCCUUUAUAAAUUCCUUUAUUAUCAGGCCCUGUAAUCUCUACGUCGAUGUCCAGGAAGCCCCCCUCGGCCACCUCGAAGAUGAGCCCCAUCUUCGUGCCGGACGGCACCCGCUCCAAGAAACACUCCUCCGCGUGCGCAUCGAUACUGACGAAGUAGGCGGCAGCCGGGGCCGCCAGUGCGGCCAGCAGCGCCAGCACCGCCCGCACCGGCGACAUGGCGGAGCCCAGGGGCACCGAGCGGCGGGCAAGAGGAAAAGGGGAGGGGGG
rnacentral:lncRNA from 1 species